rnacentral:RNase_P_RNA from 1 species
UGGGCUGACCGGGCGACCGCGUCGCAGCACUCGGGAGACCGGGUGCGGCGCCGAGGAAAGUCCGGGCUCCACAGGGCACGGUGGUGGGCAACACCCACCCGGGGUGACCCGCGGGACAGUGCCACAGAGAACAGACCGCCUCCCGUCCCGACUCGUCGGGGCGGGCGGUCAGGGUGAAACGGUGGUGCAAGAGACCACCAGCGGCCCGGGUGACCGGGUCGGCUCGGCAAACCCCACCAGGAGCAAGGUCAAGAAGUCCGGAGCCUUCGGGCCCCGGAUGCGCGUGCGUCCGAGGGCGGCCCGCCCGAGCACGCGGGUAGACCGCUGGAGGGUGUCGGCAACGGCACCCGUAGAUGGAUGGUCGCCCCCCGGCGACCGUGAGGGGACCGGGGACAGAACCCGGCUUACAGGUCAGCCCGUCCG